GCAAUUUAAAGUUUCCCCCCGCCCUGGGGGGAAGUAACGGGCCCGCAAAGGGCUAAAAAUCUCAAAAGGGAAUUUGACCGGGGGGCCCCGCACAAAGCAAGCGGGAGCAUUGUGGCCUUAAUUCUGACGGCAACGGCGAAAGAACCCUUACCAAAGGCUUGAACAUAUACCGGGAAAGCAUCAGAGGAUGGUGCCCCCCUUGUGGUCGGUAUACAGGUGGUGCAUGGCUGUCGUCAGCUCGUGUCGUGAGAUGUUGGGUUAAGUCCCGCAACGAGCGCAACCCUUGUUCUGUGUUGCCAGCAUGCCUUUCGGGGUGAUGGGGACUCACAGGAGACUGCCGGGGUCAACUCGGAGGAAGGUGGGGACGACGUCAAGUCAUCAUGCCCCUUAUGUCUUGGGCUGCACACGUGCUACAAUGGCCGGUACAAUGAGCUGCGAUGCCGUGAGGCGGAGCGAAUCUCAAAAAGCCGGUCUCAGUUCGGAUUGGGGUCUGCAACUCGACCCCAUGAAGUCGGAGUUGCUAGUAAUCGCAGAUCAGCAUUGCUGCGGUG
rnacentral:rRNA from 1 species